rnacentral:rRNA from 1 species
GACGAACGCUGGCGGCGCGCCUAACACAUGCAAGUCGAACGAGAGAGAGGAAGCUUGCUUCCUCAAUCGAGUGGCGAACGGGUGAGUAACGCGUGAGGAACCUGCCUCAAAGAGGGGGACAACAGUUGGAAACGACUGCUAAUACCGCAUAAGCCCACAGCUCGGCAUCGAGCAGAGGGAAAAGGAGCAAUCCGCUUUGAGAUGGCCUCGCGUCCGAUUAGCUAGUUGGUGAGGUAACGGCCCACCAAGGCGACGAUCGGUAGCCGGACUGAGAGGUUGAACGGCCACAUUGGGACUGAGACACGGCCCAGACUCCUACGGGAGGCAGCAGUGGGGAAUAUUGCACAAUGGGGGAAACCCUGAUGCAGCGACGCCGCGUGGAGGAAGAAGGUCUUCGGAUUGUAAACUCCUGUUGUUGAGGAAGAUAAUGACGGUACUC